GAAAACUUUCACACCAUAAAUCUCUCAGUCUUUCCCCAGCCACCAGCUGAGAGAGUGAAUAUAAUAUCUCCUGAUCAUUGUGUUAACACUGAUAAUAGUAACAUAUCAUAUCUCCAUAAUGUCCCUGUUAUUAUUGUAUCAUUCCAUAUGAAAUAAAAGCAACAAUAUAUAACAUACCUUUGUGUGAUGUAAAUGCCUUCAGUAAUUGAAAAACAUGUAUAAACGACAGUAAAUCUGUUCCGUAGACAUUGGGCACCCAGCAAUGAGUGCAAAUUCUCCCUUAGAAUCAGGCACUAGUGUCUAACAAAGAGAAAGCUGAAUAACUGUGUUUGUUUAGGAAAUUAUGGUUAUAUUUACUAAAUACAGAGUAGAUUUGGGGGCAGAUUUAUUGAUGUUCGAAUGGUAAAUUUGAAAUUUAAUUUUCAAGUUGAAUUUUUGGUCAAAACUCAAAAAUUCGAAUUAGGAAAAAUCCAAACUCGAAUUCAAAUUCAACAUUUAUCAUACCUCUACCCUGAAAGUAACUCAAAUUUGAUCACCACCUAAAACCUACCGAAUUCAUGUAGAAGUCAAUGGCAGAGGUCCAUUGACCCACUUGGAGAUGUUGAUGUUUCGGAAAAAAAACCUCAAUUUGAAUGCCUUUGAUCUGCGGUCAAAUUCGAUUUGGGUUUUCGGGUCGGUAAUAUUCGUUUGAAUUUUGUUAAAUAAGAUACCUAGUUUCUAGGUUAAUCUAGUUCAUUCAAGGUAAAAAAAAUCUCUCUAUCACUGGACCUUUGAUAAAUCUGCCCCUUAAUGUAUCAAGGUUCAAAAGGUUUUCAUUAAGGAAAGGUAUUAUGUUUUCCCACUUUCCCAAAGAGUUUAUAUUUGUUUCACAUUUAGCUAAUCUCAUUCAUGGUGGUGUGUAUUUCUGGCAUCAGUUUUAUUUACGUCAGCCUUUGUAUCAGCUGCUACAACUGUCAUUGACCAGAAACUUGCAAACUCACUUGAUCAGUUUGGAUAAUGGAUAAAAUGCAUGCAGUGCUUGAUAACUCAAUGCAACAGACAAAAAAUGGUAAAUCCAGAUAAUUUUUUAAUGACAUUUUGUGACUUAUUGGUGGAGUCUUGGAAAAUAAAUGGUACAAAACUAAAACUUGGAAAUUUUGUUCUGACUAUUCUUUGGGGGUAACAAUCAAAUGUAAUUUACACUUUCUGAAAAAAAGUCUUCCCCUUACUACUGUAGAGGACACCAGGGUUGGCUCCUUGACGGGAGGUAUAUUUCUCCAUUAUUUGGGCUGUGGUCCCUUUAAGCAGCGUGUGUUUCAGGGAAGGAGUCUGGGAGUUAUUUGGCAGCAACACCAGUUGCUGUUUUUUUCUUAGUUUUUCAGGGACCAGACUCUGGAAUGGGAGGGAAGGUACAGGGUGGGCCUUCCCAUUCCACCCAGGUACACACCUGACUUUUACUCUGCAUAAAGAGGAGUCACAGGUGCAAUUGAGUGUAGAGAAUGGUGUCUGGAGCCUGUGAGCUGGAAGUCUUUCUACAGGCUCAAGGAAAGGACUAAAACAGAUAUCCUUGUGUGCAAAGGACUAUGGAAGAAAGUCUGCUAAUAUUGAACAUUUGCUGGUUUUGUUGUUUGGCCUCAAGUGGACUGACCAGGCCUACUUUGGACACUGUAAAACCAAAGGACUUUCACAAGCUGAAGCUUAGAAUUGUAACUGCCAUCUGGUUGCUAUUCGUUACCCUAACAUCCAGCAGUUUGGAAGCCAGAAUUGAAGAAGAGAAUAAGUGAUAAAACAAAAGCAAGAAUAACAAUAAAAUCAAAGCUUCACAGUCUGUUUUUUGGUUGCCAGGGUCAGUGACCCUAACAACCAAGCGGCAUUUUCAGUUACCCUUCAGAAAGAGGCAGAAUAACAAGGCUGAUAGUUUGAAACCUCUAAAAAUAAAAAAAAUUAUGACCAGCUGAAAAGUUAUGUAGACUAGGUUCAUACCGGCACGUGGUGAAUAGAUGGUCAAAAAAAUACACAACGUAGUGCCACAACAAUAUAAUAAUAAUAAUACAAUAAUAUAAUUCACACUAAGGUAAAAAUAUCACAUUAGUUUUGUCAAUGUGGUUUAACAAAUGCAUUAUUGUUAAGUGAAGAAUUGUUAUUGCUAAGUUGUUGCUAAGUGAACAAUUGUCACAAUACCUCACCAUGAUUGCAUGCAAUGUGUAAGUGUGGGGAAGCACAACAUUGUAGCAUAUUUCUCCUCGGAUUCUCCUGAGUUGCAGAACUGGACUGUGAGAGAUUUAAGCUCUCCUCAGGCAUGGGGCUAUACAUAAAAAGUGAAUAUUUUUCCAUUGCGUUACUUACCUGAAAUCCGAUUGGUUCAUUUUUGAACCGUUGUCUCCUGAUUGAUUGAUUUAAAAAGGGGGCGUGGCUUAUCAAAAAGGCGCAAAAUAUAUACGGGUGGCCUUGCAAUGCAGGGCUCAUUGUUGAAAGAGGAUUGGCUUUGAGAUCCCUUCCACCCACC